GCGAAGGUCUUUAUUUCCAACAUAAAGUGUGCAUAUUUAUAAUUUGAAAUUCGUCCCAGCCUUAAUACCACAGAUACUCUAGGGCCUAUAGCAUAUAAUCGCGCUUUCUGAUUACAGUUUAAUGUAACAGUAAGCGGACAACAUCGUAAUUAACACCGCAACUGCAAAUCAACCACACGGAGAUGACCAUGGCAACCGGUCAAACACCGUUUUUUCGCGAUCGUUCUGCUCGUGCAUUCCGCUGUGUUGAUUAACAAAUAAUCCCCCUUUUCAACGACGUUCAACCGAGUGAGCGCAAAUGUGGCUCACUUCUUUAAAUAAAAAAAUCAUUAAUUAAUAAAAAAAAACAGUUAACCUUGUACACGAAAAAAAGGGGGUUGUGUAGCCGUUUACGAAUUUUUGUAGGCGUCCACACCCCUAGUCGCCAUGCAGACUUCUGUUGUAAAACGAUAAUAAAACCUCUAACCUCAUCACCUACAGUGCUAAGCUAAAAUUGUGUCGUGGUUCUUGUCGUUUCCAGGGCAACUACAACCAAGGCAGCUACAACCAGGGCGGCUACAAUCAGGGCAGCUACAACCAGAGCUACUACAGCCAGUACCCGGGCUACAGCCAGAGCUACAGUCAGCCGGCCGCCGCCGCCGCCGCCGCCACAGGGCAGAGCUACACCCAGACCCAGCAGACCCAGCAGCCCCAGCAGCAGGCUCAGCAGGCCCCGCAGACGCAGCAGGCCCAGGCGGCCCAGCCACAGACCCAGCAGAACUACAACCAGCAGUACCAGCAGUAUGCGCAGCAGUGGCAGCAGUACUACCAGAACCAGAGCCAGUGGAACCAGUAUUACAGCCAGUAUGGGAACUACGGCCAGGGCAACCAGGGAUCCUCGGGCUCCCAGUGACAUCCUCGCCCCAAGAUCCUCGUCCCCCUAACCCCCCCGCUGCCCUGAAGGCCCGGUCUGUACAGUCUCACCUGACAUGGACUCUAGCCCCGAUCCCUCCCUGCUAGUCCUCCCUCCAGGUAGCCCCCUGUCCUGCCCUCCCCUGGUCCGUUCACGCAGAGCCGUCUAACUGGUCCUCGGUGUCUCUUUUCUACUGGAGUCUUAACCCUUUCAGCGGAGAUUAAUCGGUAAGAAAGAAGAGCGGAGGACUCUGUGCUUCGGCGUCAGACGUCGAUUGCGGGCGCCGGCUGAAAGUUUUACGGUCCACAGGUGUAGAUUUCAAAAACAAGGUAGAUUUCGAAAUAAUGUAUGCAAAGCAAGACAUGAUUAGUGUGGGAAAUAAAUCAAUUGUGUGAACUAGUUUUGCUUGUUAAUAUGAAGCUUAGCCAAGAACAAGAUGCAUGCUUUCCCCUCGUGACGGUCGGGUCACUCUCUGCUACUCUGCUUCGUUUAUCGUCUUUUCAAUUUACUCUUUAAUAGGAUUCCUCAGCGAGAAUCCUUCUUGUUUUUUUAGGUGUUAAUACCAUAGAUUUUCAUUGCCCAGCCCUUGAGCAAGCAGGAUAUUUUGCCACUGUUUCGUAGUAUUGUGCGCAACCCUUUGUUUUUUUUAUCCUUUUGUGAUUGCUGUUGAUUGUAGUAAUAUUUUAUGGCAGACAUUUUUCUAUCAAGUAAUGAGUCUGUUGACAUGACGACUACCCAAGUUACCCAAACUAUGUCUUUAUACAAUAAAUGCAAUUGUAUACUCCUUUACAUUUGGAACGAGUUGUCUUUCCACGCCUUUUUCACUCAAACCGAAAAUCCUCCCUACAAACAAAAAACGACUCAUAUCGAGACUUCACAAACUACUAGUUUCAUUCUACAUUCAACACAUUUACACAUAGAUUCACAGGGAUUGUACAUCAAAAUUAAAAAGUCGCACCAAAAUUGAAAUGUGGUUAGGUACAAAAUCACUGUCUCAGCUGACCGGUUGGUAUUCCGCCGUCAAAGUAGCAAGGCACUUCACAGGGCCUCAACAAAAGACAGGAUCAUAAUCAGGAUGCUAAUGCAGUCUAUGGAAACAGGCCGGCCAUCGAGGCCAAUGGAGGAUGAACGACUGUUUUGCUGGUGUCAUUGUUCUCCCAUCUCAAACCGUGUAUCGGUUGUCCUGGAAGAAUACUGAGGUCUUCGGAGCAUGGCGGGUAGCACCAGAACAUCUCGUCAUUGUAACGAGAUUUGAGCUUCAUUUUUUUAUGUUUUAACAAAACAAUCCAAGUUAUUGAGGUGAAAUAGUUAUGUACACCGGUAGUUUCAACUGCGAGUCCAGCUGUGAGUGAGGCACCGAGGGGCCCGGGGCCGUGAUGGGGCCCCCCCCGGUGCUCCGUAGAGCCGCUGAGGUGCUGAGGCUUCAGUCCGGCUCUCUGUUCCUCUCCUUGUACAGGUGGAGCUCCUCCAUCUUCUCCUGGAGGAAGCUCACCGGCACGGAGCCUUCUCGGGUGCGAGAGGGCAGGCUGUUGCUCUGCAACU
ensembl:lncRNA